rnacentral:misc_RNA from 1 species
GGAGAACAUACCAACAAGAAAUGCACCAUCCUCCCAAUUUUUGAUUGCCAAAACAAAGUAGCCACGGGAUUGGAUUUGGUGGCCCAAAUGGCCAAAUUCAACCCGUAUUUAUGAGCCCAUUUAGUUCCAAUAUGGUUUCAUAUAAAAUGGAGAACAUUGUUCAGAUUUCUGGCAAUAAUCUGUAAUUGCAGAAAGUUUAUAUGCAUUUUGCCACAGGCUGUCGGCUCAUCAUAUCUGAAUCAGAAACUCAAGGCAGGCAUUGAUAUACGCUUCUGUGAAGAGGAAAGUGUAAAAGUUGCAGCAGAA